GAUGAACGCUGGCGGCAUGCCUAAUACAUGCAAGUCGAGCGAACAGACGAGGAGCUUGCUCUUCUGACGUUAGCGGCGGACGGGUGAGUAACACGUGGAUAACCUAUCUAUAAGACUGUGAUAACUUCGGGAAACCGGUGAUAAUACCGGAUAAUAUCUUGAAACGCAUGGUUCAAUAGUGAAAGACGGCUUUGCUGUUACUUAUUGAUGGAUCCGCGCCGCAUUAGCUAGUUGGUCUGGUAACGGGCUACCAAGGCAACGAUGCGUAGCCGGGCUGAGAGGGUGAUCGGCCACACUGGAACUGAGACACGGUCCAGACUCCUACGGGAGGCAGCAGUAGGGAAUCUUCCGCAAUGGGCGAAAGCUUGACGGAGCAACGCCGCGUGAGUGAUGAAGGUCUUCGGAUCGUAAAACUCUGUUAUUAGGGAAGAACAAAUGUGUAAGUAUCUAGGCACGUCUUGACGGUACCUAAUCAGAAAGCCACGGCUAACUACGUG
rnacentral:rRNA from 1 species